rnacentral:rRNA from 1 species
GACGAACGCUGGCGGCGCGCUUAACACAUGCAAGUCGAGCGAAGCGGCGGACGGGCGAGUAACACGUGAGUAACCUGCCUAAGACAUUGGGAUAGCCUCGGCAAACCGGGAUUAAUACCAAAUGGUCUAAGAAGGACUCGCGUCCCAUUACCUAGUUGGUGAGGUAACGGCCCACCAAGGCGACGAUGGGUAGCCGGCCAGGGAGGCGGAACGGCCACAUUGGAACUGAGAAACGGUCAAAACUCUACGGAAGGGAGCAGUGGGGAAUACUGCACAAUGGAGGGAACUCUGAUGCAGCGACGCCGCUUGAACGAAUAAGGCUUUCGAGUCGUAAAGUUCUUUUAUAUGGGAAGCGGUACCAUAAGAAAAAGCCCCGGCUAACUACGUGCCAGCAGCCGCGGUAAUAC